UUCUGUCUCUUCCCCUCCCCCAUGCACGCUCUCUCUCAAAAAUAAACGUAAAAAAAGAGAAGAAUAGAUACACCGUAAGUAUUCAUUAAAUUGGAUGGAUUUGCUAUACCAUUUCUUAAAGUACUUCCUUUAUAGCCAAAAGCUCCGUGUCUGUAUAUUAAAGAUUUUGCAACCCUUUCCCUCGCACAUAAACAUAUCCAGAAGCUAAUAAGCCAAAGACAUGGUUAUUAAUAUCGAGAGUCAAGGAUGACUCAUGAGGCUCCUCCAACAAUCAAGGAUGAAAAUCUAAGGGGUUGGAGGACAAGUACUUAAUUCAGCUCGACACUCAUGAGCGGAACAGCCGUCCCCUGCCUGUCUUGCAGCGUGCAUAGUAGAUUAGAUUAGGGUCCUAUCCUUUCACACUUCAUAGUUCUCAAACAAACCUUUUCCGUCCCGUAAUGCGAUUUUCAUUCAGCCACCUUCUUUGUUAAAUUUAAAGCCUGCGAGUUUGGGGACUGUCUGUAUCGUUCACCAGUGGCCCAAGCGUCCCUUCCAAAUGAAGGCCAUCACAGUUGUCCCAUGUUGCCAGUCGUGCGUUAGCAUCAGCAGGGCGCAUUCUGCACAUUUAUGACUUCAGAGGAACAAGAUGGGUUUGCCAAAAUUUGCCAACCAUGUAGGACGGUCUCUGACGAAUGACUUCAAUCUGAAUAUCCAGAAAUUGUCUGAUUUGCAGUCUGCUUGGAAUCAACUGCUUUAUUGGAAGGGAGUGAGCAACUACAUUAUUGAGAAAAAACCAUUUUAAUUCGGU